rnacentral:rRNA from 1 species
AUUGAACGCUGGCGGCAUGCCUUACACAUGCAAGUCGAACGGCAGCACGGGACUCGGGCAACCGAGCCCUGGUGGCGAGUGGCGAACGGGUGAGUAAUGCAUCGGAACGUACCCAGUAGUGGGGGAUAACUAGUCGAAAGAUUAGCUAAUACCGCAUACGACCUAUGGGUGAAAGCGGGGGAUUCGCAAGAACCUCGCGCUAUCGGAGCGGCCGAUGUCUGAUAGCUAGUUGGCGGGGUAAAAGCCCACCAAGGCUUCGAUCAGUAGCUGGUCUGAGAGGACGACCAGCCACACUGGGACUGAGACACGGCCCAGACUCCUACGGAGGCAGCAGUGGGAAUUUUGGACAAUGGGCGCAAGCCUGAUCCAGCCAUG